rnacentral:rRNA from 1 species
AUGCCUGAGCAGGUGGAAUGGGAGCCGUAUGGAAAAGGAGAGAGUUUUGGUAACCCUAUAGAGUUCAGGCUUAAUCCGAUGUGCAUUAGGGAUAGGGAUCUCUGGCAUAUGCGGUGCCCACUGAUAUGCAACUGGGCGGUUGAGCUUCACCUGCCACAUCGGGUGUUCCGCCAGUUUGGUUUGUUCCAGCCACACCCGCCGGAGUGGGAGGACACGGACAAGUUGCUACACGCGUUGGAUAGGAAAAAGCAGCGGAAGAUCAAGGAUUGGGCCAACCAUCACAGGAAGUAUGUCGUGCAGUUCGCUCUUAGUGUGGAGCAAGCAAGGGCUGGAAAACGAGCCCAGCUUUGUGAGCACUGCCCGAUCGCGUUCAACAACUAUCUCGCAUGGUUUCUUGCAAGUACCCGUGUGGAGGUAUGCCAGCCGGCGUAUGCUGAGGAGAUUCUGGAAGAACCCACCGUUUUUGAUGAGAUCAAGAAAGCAGCUGAUGAGACCGAGACUAUUCUGGAAACAACCCCGGCUGGCAAAAGCGAUGGGGAAGGUGCACUUCGAGCAUUCAUUAAGCGCCAGGGCCAAAAGUUAAGGCGGCUAUCAAACCUUUUCGGUUGUCGUGACCCCGAGUAUGUAUCACCAGAACGGUCUAAGUCGGCGACACCAUCAGAUCCCGCUUCGGGGCAGAGCCAUGGUGAACCUUUCGAGGAUGAGGAUGUGGGUGUGGUCACCCAAGAGGCUCGGUCUGCAUACGAGUUGAAGCCUAGGAAGGGAAUCAACAAGUACACACCUGAAGACUUCACCCAAAGAGGCCAAAGAGGCAAAAGGACGGUCGGCACCUCGCGGAUGGCGGCUUUGGAUGACGAUGUCGAACCGGAGCCGGAGCCUGAGCCGGAGCCGGAGCGGGUUCCUCUUCCUAGGAAGGUGAAGAAGAUAAGCGUCAAGAGGGGGGGAGGAGCCAGCAAGCGUGGAAAGCACUAG